ACCUCAUGAACAGAAAAAUAAUUCAUUAUUGUGUAAAUAAUUGCACUCAAUCUGCGGACAGAACUGUUUCGUCCUUUGUGGGUACAGUACAUUGUAUUGUUGACGAUGGAGACGCUCAGAUGUUGUCAGCAUGAACUGAAUGAUUGGAACUGCAAUACAACCGCUGCUACAUGUAUGCGCGAACUGCUGGGAGCUCUGCGUACUGAUGGGUUACGCAAGUGCCACGCUAAUCACUUGUCACUGAUGCUGGCGUAUCCCACAAUGGAGUUGAGAGAUAGGCAGCAGUGUGCCUUGCCAUGAACAACGCAGAAUAUACAAGUGCAGUUGAGGCUGAUGCGUCAGUUGACAAGAUUGCAGAGGCUACGGAUGGCAGCAGCAGGUCUGAUGCUGAAGAGACUGCAGAUAUUGAGCAAUUGGAGCAGCCAGCGUAUGGAAAGGCAAGAUUGAGGACGAAGUGGUCAUCCAUGCCCGAUGAGCACCGACAUUACAGCUGGACUUCCUAACGAAGAUAUUGCCAAAUUACCAUCACCUGCAGGCGUCGCAGUCGGCAGCCCCAGCAGCAGCAACAUCUUGACCAAAGUUAUCCUUGUCGUAUCCACCCUAUGUAGUCGUCUGAUUUUGCUGCAAACCGGCACUUGUUGAUUGCGAGUCCCCCACGAUACCAUUGACUAGAUCAGCGUACUGGUUGCCUUAUCGAAACCUAUCAAUUUCCUCUGCAUGUUCUGCUGCGGGACAUGUUAUCGUGUCGCAUUCUUUAAAAUGCUGAUCAUAUAGCACAGCUACUGCUUUUUUUAAAUAACAUUGUACUCAGCAGAGCGAUGCUGUCGUAGGUGUUCACGCCAGGUCGAUCAUCCGGUCUCACUUUCAUGCGCAUUGUCUGACUCAAUUGUGCAUGUAUGCACUACAGGCUGACAUGGGUAAAUUCACUACAUUGGGAAUAUAAUAAAUAAAUUGCAUCAGAGACUGCUAUAGAUAGCCGUCCAUGAUUUCUCUUCAGAGGCACUUCGCGCAAGUUUUCUGCUUACCCCGGACGCCAGAACUUUCUCAAUUAUUGCUCGGAAGUGACCGUUCAAGGCUAUAGAGCCUAUAAUCUCUGUUGCUGCAUAAUCUCUGUUACUAGCAAAUGCCCGUUCAGGGCUAUACAUGUAAUCCCGUCGGCAUACCUCAGUCUGACAUGCUGACAUGUUCACGUCAACGCUCCACGAGCGUAUACCAUAAAAUCUUGUAUAAAGGCCGCACUUGAAUAAAAGCGCCCUCGAAUAGAAGCCGCAAUUCUGGGCCCAUCAAAUCACACAUAAGCCCAGUUUUAGUGUUGACAUACAUAGAAAUACCUGUGUUGUACAGAAGCCUGUCUCAUAGAGAAGCCUGCAAAAUUUCACCAACAAAGUCAUAGAAGCCGCGGCUUUUAUACAAGACUUUACGGCAGCUCAAGUUUUCCUGCUGCUAUGCCAUCACCUCCACAGUAGGUAGGUAUAAUCAGACUUUCACCGGUCAAUCAUGUAUUUGAUUGUAUAAAGUAUUGACUUGUCUUCUUGUUGUGCAUGUCGACUUCUUGCUACUGCGGCCUCAUGAUAUUAUACUUUUCAUAUCAUGGAUGAUAAUAGGACAGUGCCCUUGUAUUUUCCUGGGGGGGGUUUUGGGUUUUUUUGUUUUUUUCCCGGUUUUUGCGUUUUUUUCACACAUACAAUUGUUUUCAUUUUUUGGUGUUGUGUUCUAAUCAUUCGCCAUGCCACUGUCAAUUGUAUUCUGUUUGCUCGUAAAAGAGGCCUUUAUCGUAUAAUAAUCAUUAUUUGUCAUGAUAUCAUGGAUGGUGUCAAUCUGGCAAGCAAUAAUUAUUAUUAUUGUCGCUGCAUUGUAGUUAGAAUACACACACACAUGAUUUGUUUCUUGCAUGGCUGCAAGCUUAUGUAUUUGUGGCACAUUCUGACGUCGUUCUUGUAUCGUGUGAUCAAGAACUUUGCUCUUCUA